AGUAAGAGGAGGAAGAAGAGAAGGAGGAGGAGGAGAAGGAAGAAAUAACGAAAAUUAGCCUGCUCUGCGUGUGCCAACUUACGAUUUGGUACCCAACGGUCGGAGACUUCUUCUGUACUUCUCAGUCAAGCGUGUCAAGGUCGUACGAAGAGGCACAUAGUAGCGCUCGUCCAGAAUACGCGGCAGGUGCAGCGUGGCACGACCUGCACGCAUUUGCAUCUGAUCUUCUACACAAUUGCAAUGAAGGAGAAAAACAGACACAGAAAGAGAGAGAGAGAGAAAGAGAGAGAAAGAAAACGAUAGAGAAAGAAAGAGAGAGAGAGAGAGAGAGAGAGAGAGAGAGAGAGAGAGAGAGAUAAUUAACGAUACAUCGAGACGAGGUAAGAGAGAUAAAAUUCCCGAGGUUGAUUUGUUAUAAAUCACUCGAUAGAACAUGAUUAGAGUUCAAUCGUUGAAAUUAAAUUCGAAGAAGGAAAGGAGCCAAGGAAUUUCAUGAAUUCGGAACACCGUUUUCUCGGAAAUUAACUCGUUUCUAAAAUUUAUCAAUUAUAUUAUUCAUAAAAAUAUAAUAUACAUAUAUAUAUAUAUAUAUACGAUCAAAGUAGAUAACCUAAUAGUUAUUCAUUAUCGAUAACAGUCGAUUAGAAUAUAUUAACUUCGUAUCUUUAUUAGAAGAUUUAUUAGUUAAUUCUAUUGAUUUCGAGAACGGAUACUACUACGAACGUUACGAGACUAACACUGUCUAUGGGUAGACGCAAUGCGUAAGCCACGGGAUUAUUGAUCUUUCCUUCCCCCCUCCCCCCGAAAUGUUCUUGAAUAACUCGGAUAUCUCUUUAACGUGUAAAUAUUUAAUAUUUACAUAUAACAUAUUGACACAUAAUAUGAUAUAGUCUAACUAUGGAAAACGAGUUAGCGUAUUGUAUUUUCCUACGUCAGAAUUUUUAUAAAUUACAUUUGGAUGUUAAUUUCAGAGAGAGAGAGAGAGAGAGAUGUCCAUGAAAAAAAAAGAAAAAAAUAAAAAAGAAACGAAUAUGAAAAACUUCUCGAGUUUAUCUAAUUUCUGUAUUUAUUUUAGCCAAAUGAUAUUAUAUGAAAAAACUCUGCAUCGUUUCAGGCUCGAAUCGCGAUUGGUCCACGUAAUACCGCAUGCAUGUGUCUGAUCUAAGGAGAGUCUGUACUUGUGAUAAAUUGUUCUUGGCUCUUUACCAUAUUCUAGGUAUAAUAUUUCGGUGCGUCAUUAUUGAUUUAACGUUUUCCAUUUAAAUUGAAUAAAACUAGAUUAAAGUAGGAA